rnacentral:rRNA from 1 species
GUGAGGAAUAUUGGUCAAUGGGCGCAAGCCUGAACCAGCCAAGCCGCGUGCAGGAUUAAGGCCCUAUGGGUUGUAAACUGCUUUUAUACGGGAAGAAUCCCCCCGACGUGUCGGGGAUUGACGGUACUGUAUGAAUAAGCAUCGGCUAACUCCGUGCCAGCAGCCGCGGUAAUACGGAGGAUGCAAGCGUUAUCCGGAUUUAUUAGGUAUAAAGGGUGCGUAGGCGGGCUUGUAAGUCAGCGGUGAAAUACUACGGCUUAACCGUAGAACUGCCAUUGAUACUGCAGGUCUUGAGUACAGUUGAGGUAGGCGGAAUGUGUGGUGUAGCGGUGAAAUGCUUAGAUAUCACACAGAACACCGAUUGCGAAGGCAGCUUGCUAAGUUGUAACUGACGCUGAGGCACGAAAGCAUGGGGAGCAAACAGGAUUAGAAACCCUGGUAGUCC